UUAUUUUCUCCUGAGCACUGCACAUAAAACAGCACUGGGUUUCUCAAAAAAGAAAGCAAGAGGAUUAUUUGGCAUUUAACAAAAAGCUUCCACAACCAAAGAAUGAUGAAGAGCCACCAUGUGGGUCUUCUGCUGCUGCUAGUGUACUCGACCACAGCGUCGAGGCAGAACCGUUCCCCAAACGAGUACCAGAAGUUCAAAGACCAACAUUUCAAACAGGGGAUGAGAAUUUCUGAGUGUGAUUCUGUAAUACGCGACAGAAAUAUCUUUGAUGUGAAUACCAAUCUCUGUAAACCGACCAACACCUUCAUCACUGCCCCUCUCUCCCAAUUCUUAGCCCUCUGUGGGGGAAAUAGACCAGGUAGAAUCACUACUAACAACCUGUUCACUUUUGUCAUGUGUCAACUCACUAACGGUGCUGACCAACCCAGACAGCCAAAUUGCCGGUACCGGGGUUGGUCCCCCACAUUUGCCAAAAAGCUAAUCGUUAAUUGUAAGGAUCGAUUACCAGUGCAUUUUUUCGGAUACGCAUAAUAGAGACAUUGCAUACUUGCAAAAUUUAUUUAUCGAGUGAGUUGUAAUGCACUUGAUCAUCAAAUAAAAAAAAGGAUGAACACUAUCAA